ensembl:lncRNA
GGGGAGUGAUGUGGUAAUUCAGGGCAGCACUGAGUGUGAAGAAGGGAGGGAGAUGGCAUUCUUACCUUCUAGCAAUGCCAAUUCAAUACUAUGCUUACACAUAGAAAAAUACCAGGAGGUAUAAGCAGUACCUCCUUUGCUUCUUAUCCCAGCUUUCUACCACCAUGAAAAACAUGAAGGCAUGAGGUUCUCUUAGAAUUACCCCAAAGAGGGCUUGUGGGUGCCCCCAUUUAAGUACAUAGUGGCAAUAGAUUAAGUUUUAUGGGGUGACUUUUAAAUGCAAUAUAAUAUCAUGAAAUAUUUUUCCUAAUUGUAGUUUUUAUUACUUAGUUUCUACAGAGCUGUAUAAGUUUAUUUGCUGAUUAUUUCUGAGAGUUUUCUUCUGGGUCCUCUUUUCUUCUUUCUCAGUGUAUCCUCCCUAGUUUGUCCUCCCUUUAGUAUGUUGAUGAUGGCCAAAUCUGUAUCUCUAGUAUAGUCUUUUAUCACUUUCCUGAACUGGUGCCUGAAACUUAUGAAAUUUAUCCUUUCUGUCCAGAACUUGUUAAUCUUCCACACUAUAAUGAAUGAUACCAGCAUCAAAUAAUUGCUCAAGCAAGAAAACUAAGAGUCAGUCUUGAAUCCUCCAUCUCCUUAAUGCCCCUACAUUAGGUUAGUCAUCAAGUCAUACUGAUGUUCCCUGCUACAUUUUUUUUUGUUCCAUUUACUUCUCUGUGUCUCUACCAUUUUCAUCCUUGCCCACCAUUGGCCACCAUCAUUUCUCAGCUGGAUUACACACCUGCUUUCUAUCUGGUUUCUCAGUCUUUAGUGUUACCUUCUUGAAAUUUUUCAUUGUGCUGCCCCCCAGAGUGAUUUUUCUAAAAUACCAAUUCAGUCAUUGUUACUCACCUGCUUAAGCCAUAUGUAUGUGUAUGUUUCUGUCUAUUUAUCUAUUAUGUAUUUGUCAUGGAUCUCCAGAGAAACAGAAUUGUUCACAUGUACAUAUGUAAUUGGAGAUUUAUUAUAGGAAUUAUGUGUGAGGAAAAGAUGUAAUAAAAAACAGUGGAUCUAUGACCUAUGGAUGUUUCAGUUCAAGCAGAGAGAGUGAAUUCUCCAUUCCUUUGCCUUUUUGUUCUAUCUAAACCAUUAGCAAAGUUGAUGAGGGCCAUCUUUUUUACUCAGUCUGCUGGUUCAAAUGCUAUCUCUUUUUGGAACACCCUCAGAGAUGUACGUAGAAAUAACAUUUUACCAGGUCUAUGAGAAUGUCUUAGCCUGUGAAGUCAGCACAUAAAGUUAGCCAUCACAGUAUGAACAUGAACGAACACACACACACACACACACACACACACACACACACACACCAUAUUGAUGACAUGUGCCCACAGACCUUGUUAACCUUAUCUCUUGCUAGAAGAAUUUCUUUCUUUUCCUUCACUGUGCCAUGCUUUCUUUUGCUUCUGGAGUGCAACACAGGUUAUUUCUUUUGCCUGGACUCUUUAUCCUGUACAUCUUUAAUUACAAAUUCUUUCUUAUCUUUAGUAUCUCAGCUUGGCUUACUUAUUUCUUUGUCCUGAAUCUUUUCUUAAAAACUAAAGUCUGGAAUGGAUACCAUCCUAGGUGCUUCCAGGGAAAUAUUUUUACUUCUUCCAUCAGCGUAUAUAUCAUGCUGUGAGGUAAUUGUUUGUACAUUUGAUCCUCCUGGGCUGUGAGCUCUGUGCAUGUAUGAAUAUAGACCAGCAUUCAUAUUCAUUUUUGUUGAAUGAAUACUUUGAGGAGCAUGAGAAAUGGAAACAUUUCAUCCAGCACCUACAUAGGGCUUUGGUGCUCCAAAGAAAUUUGUGUGAGGAAAAGAAAUAAAAACAGGAACAUGGAAGAAAACAAUAACCAAAGGUAAAGUUUUCAAUUGCUGCUCUACUUGAAGUGAAAAGGCAUAUAAUAUGUAAUAUUUCCCUUAAACUUUGGUAAAUUGAUUAAUUUCCUUGAACUUAAUUCAUAAAAUAAAAUGUUUAAUGGUGAAAAUCAUUCAUGUAGUCUAACCCCUAAUUUUAAAAGUGAGAAAACAGAGGGUCAGAGAGAUUAAGUGACUUGUUUUGGGAAUAGAAACAAGAUCCAAUUCCAGCUCUUUUGACUCUCAGGUGCUAGGUAUGAAUUAAGCCUAGCAUUGAAAUGGCUAGCAUUUGGCUUCCUAUACAGAAUUAUUUAAAUUUCCAAUUUAGGCACUAUAGAAAAAUGGCCAUAAUUCUUUUAGGCUUUGAGGUAAUCACUUCAGUUCAUAUAAGACACUGAUGGACAAAAUGUUAAUGACUAGUUAGGCAGGAGUGAGUUAGUUGUUGGGAAAAUCAAGUCAAUGUUGGGGUACCUCUUUCUACACUGAAAUAUUUAUUGGUGUUUCAUUGGAAACACUGUUUCUUUUAUUUUGAGGAAGGGGACAGCAGUACCCAGCUUUCCCCACAUGCCCUUCUUUCUGGGGAUGAUUUAAUAUAGACUUCAGCUUUAUAACUCAUAUCCUCACCUAAUUCAUACAGGUUCAAGGAUUCCCUCUAGAAACUUCUAUAACAGCAUUUCGUGUCUUCGCAUCUGUGCCCAAAUAAUUUUUCAUGACUGAAAUCUUUUGAAACUGCAGUGUGAUAUUUUAAGGCCUUACUGAAUUGCACAAUUUAUGUUAAACAAUUCAAAUUGGCUGUUUGUUCUCUUAGUAGAACAGGGUAGCCUUUUCUGGAUGUUCAAAAACACACCAAAUUAAAUUGGUACUUUUUUUAUAAUUUAGUAAUUGCUGACUGAAAACAUGUAGGCUGACUACUUCCUUGGGGAAUGGUAAGAACAGCUUGUAAUCAUUUUAUAUUAAAAAAUGAAAAUUGGUUAUAAAAAUAUAAGAAAAUUGUCCAUCAUAGGUAAUAAGUCCCUACAAAUUUUAUUAUUUUAACUUAUUCCUCAUUGUUCUGUGAAGUAAGAAGAUUUGAAGUAGAUGGUUUUUGAAGCACAGCAACUCACACUGACAUGAUAGGUCAUAAUGACAUCCCUCAUGAUGUCAUCUGCAGAUCUCAGGAUAAGUGCUAAGUUCCCAUGGAAGGAGUAUGUUCACUCAUUGAUCUGCAUAGGGCAUGUUGCUGCCAAACACCCUAUUGGUGCCUGGAUGUGAGGAUGAGUCUUCCUAAGUCCAGAUCAUUUGUUUUAGAUUCACUUUUGAAACCCUGGCUCAAGAGAGGGCACAGAUAUUUGCCUUACCUAAAUCCAUAGGCUUUUGUUAACUACAGCAUCUCAUAUAAAGUAAAUUCGAGAGUUAGAGACUCUUGGUGAGACCUGUGUAACCUCCUGCCUUUUCUACCUUUCUUUCAGUGAGGAAAGAAGUAAGGACAAUAACCCAACAACCAAGUGAUUGGACAUUCUUGUUUUGAGUACAGGUAUAACAACCAUGUUGGAAUCACUUUCUUUCUUAAUGCAUAACAGCUUGGUCAUGUAAGGUAGUGAGACUUUAUUUUUGCUGGUGAGAUCUUCUUUGCCCUAAGAUUGUCUUUAUAAUAUAUGACCUUGAAAGCUUUCUUAAAUGAUAAAUAAGCACACAUACAAGCUGUUGUCUAUAGCUUUCUCUUUUUAUUUCUUUUUUUUUUUCUUUUGGCUACAAGCAAGCAGGAAUUCUUCCUUCUGAAUCAUACCCUGAUUUCCAUUGAGAGAAUUGUCCUCUAUCAUUUCAUGUGGUGUAACUGGGAUGGUAUAUUUCCAGGUGCCUGUCUCCCCUCCAUAGAGUCUGAAAAAGAAAGCCUUCUGCUCUCUGCUCCCAGUGAGUGACAUGUGACCUAACCCUGGCAAUCAGACUCUCUCUCUUGAGUGAGUGAUUUAAAGACACAAAAUACAGUUGGACCUCAUUCAACAUGGGGUGCUGCUUCAGUAUUCAUUCUGUUUGAACUGCCACAGUGAGCUGCUGUGUUUCCUACUUCUUGGCUCUUGGGAUUUCCUUGGUUGCUGCUUGGUGCUAAAUCUGUUCCUCUAGGCUCUUGUUGGUUCUGUGACACUUUUUAUCCACAAUAUAUUUGCUUUUAAGUUAGUCAAUGUCUAUUUUGUUGCUUACAAUCAAGAACUCUGAUGCAUGUGUUCAAGACUGGUGGUCUAAAAUGAGCUCCACUUAUAUUUAUCAACAAGGUACUGGGAGGGACUUAUUGAACACUUGCUAGUUUUAUUGUUCCAGUCAUUCCCAUUAAGUUAAUUCUCUCCAGCAGUACCUAUACUCUUUGCUACUCAACAAAUUAAGAAAUUCCCGUCUUUCCCAGGCUUAAUAAAACAUGGAAUAAAUUCCUUUCUAAUGAGGUCACUCUGAAUGUCAAUAAUAUCUUUAUGACUGUGGCAUAAAGAAAUGUGGGGUGAUUUUUAUAUCCCAGAUACCCAUAAGCACACAUGCGUUUAUUUCCCAUUGCCAGGAUUCUCCCUUGUUUGGAGACAGGGAGAAGACAGUGACAAGUCACUUGUUGACUUACUCCUCCAAUAAAUGCAUUGAUUGUCUAAUGUGAGGAAGUCUGCUAUCAAGGUAUGGUGUUUUCUUAACGGAAGGCUGUUAAUGCCUUCCCUUAACAGCUCAAGGGGAUAUCUCUUUCCCAAAACUUACUUAUCAGUAAAACCAGAGAGAGAGAGAAAAAGAAGAUGCCUCCUUCUUUGCAUGUAAAAGCAGGAAAGGGUGUAUCAAUGGAGCUAUCAGGAUGGUAACCCCCUCUGUGACCUGCUCCUCAAAAUCAUCAGUUCAGGUUUCAUUUCUUGCAGACUAAGUUCUUCCCUGGUUUGGCUAACAGUAAGGGAUAGGGUGAGAGGUUGAAAUAAAAUAGUAUGCUUUCCAUUUGAAGAGUAAUAUUAUUUGAGACAAGUUCUCUGUAUUAUUUUCCCUGGGCAAAUGGUAGCCUUUCUAUGGUUAUUGCAUAUGAAAGCAAAAAGAAGCCUGAAAGUCAUCUCUGUACAACUAUCUCUCUUCAUCAGCAAGGAAAGUGAAGUCCAUAAGGGUUAUGUGAUCUGGCUAGUAUUGUAUGGUUAGUACAUUACCUUCAUCUUUCUCGAUAUCUUAUAAUAAAUUCAUUCCCAUCUUUCAAAACUGGGUCAUACCCAGCUAUUAACAGGCCAGCUCUGUAGUUGCUUCCAGGGUAGAAAAAUUUGUGUUCUUUCAUUUUUUGCAUGGUGAAUUGUUUGGAAAAAUUGUUAGCUGGCUUAAUUUCUAGAGGUAGAAAUGGGCAGGUCUUUUUUGAUAAUACUCUUAUCCCUUCUAGAAAUCAUUUGUGGACAUAGGGUUUUUAGGCCCCAUAAUUCAAAGGUAUUUUGCCUUACCCCAAAGACUUUUUUUUUUUUUUUGAAUGUGAAACAUUAACUUUAGUGUACCCAGGUGUGAUGUGGUAAUAAAUAUGUAUUUAAUCUUUGUCCCAGGUUCCUGGCACAUAGCUCCUAAGACCCUUUUUAAUCUGGGGUAUGAUCAGAGUGCCUUUUGUAUCCUAACAAGAUAACUGAUGGCUGGGGACCCCAGAUAGCUUCAGGAUUGGGGCUGGUCACCAGAAAGACCAUGGCUUGAUUAGAAGGUUGGAACUUUCAAUCAAACCCCUGACUUUCAGAGAGAGGGCUUGGGGAAUGAAUCAAUCAUCAGUGGUCACCAAUAGCCAAUGAUUUAAUCAAUGGCACCUAUGAAAUUAAACUUCUGCAAAACCCCCUAAACAACACGGUUUGGAGAGCUUCUAGGGUGGUAAGUACAUUGAGGUACUGGGAGGGCGUUGCACACAAAGAGAGCAUAGAAGCUCUGCAUCCACCCACCUCCAUGCAUCUCUUCCAUCUGACUAUUUCUGAGUUGUAUCCUUUGUUAUAAACUGGUAGGUAUAAGUAGAGUGUUCCCUGAGUUCUGUGAGCUAUUCUAGCAAAUUAACAAACCUGGAAGGGGAUGUUAUGGGAAUCCUCAACUUUCCAGCCAUGUGGGACAGUAGUGUGGGCACUUGGGAACCCAGUACUUGCAUGUGCAUCUGAAGGUGGGGAGGACCUGUGGGACUGAACCCUUAACUUGGAGUCUGUGCUAACUGGGUGGUUAGUGUCAGAAAUGAAUUAAAUUGUAGGACACCCUUUUGAUGUUUGGAGAGUUGGGGAAUUGGUUAGUGUGAGGAAAAAUCCCACACCUUUGGUGGGUGUCAAAAGUAUUGUGAGUAGAACUAGCAUAGACCAAGUUCCAUUUGUAACACUCUAGGGAAAAUUUCUAUCUAAAAAAGGAAGAAAUUUCCUAUGGGAAAUUCUUAUAAAGGAAAAAUUGUUCUACUAUUGUUAAUAAUCUUUAACUAAUUUAUCUAUUUGAAAGUUCUGAUUUUUAGACAUUAUAUUUUCUUGGAGCAGAUCAUAUAUAAUAAUAUGGCCAAUGAGAGCUGCAAUUUAUAAAGUGUUUACAAGGUGCCAGACACAGUACCAAAUGCCAAAUGCUGUGCAUGAAUUAUUUCAUGUAAUCUUCACAGCAACUUGAUAGGGAAAAUGAUUCCACAUAUGAAAGAAUGAAGGCUCAGAGAGAUUACAUAAUUUGCCUUGUAUUACACAUUUCAAAAGGAGUAGAGCUGAAACUCUUAUCAGAAAUGAUAUGUCGGAGUUCCCGUCGUGGCACAGUGGUUAACGAAUCCGACUAGGAACCAUGAGGUUGCGGGUUUGGUCCCUGCCCUUGCUCAGUGGGUUAACGAUCCGGCGUGGUGUAGGUUGCAGACGCAGCUCGGAUCCUGCAUUGCUGUAGCUCUGGCUCUGGCGUAGGCUAGUGGCUGCAGCUCUGAUUCGACCCCUAGCCUAGGAAUCUCCAUGUGCCGCGGGAGCGGCCCAAAGAAAUAGCAAAAAGACAAAAAAAAAAAAAA